rnacentral:rRNA from 1 species
CGGACGGGUGAGUAAUGUCUGGGAAACUGCCUGAUGGAGGGGGAUAACUACUGGAAACGGUAGCUAAUACCGCAUAACGUCGCAAGACCAAAGAGGGGGACCUUCGGGCCUCUUGCCAUCGGAUGUGCCCAGAUGGGAUUAGCUAGUAGGUGGGGUAACGGGCUCACCUAGGCGACGAUCCCUAGCUGGUCUGAGAGGAUGACCAGCCACACUGGAACUGAGACACGGUCCAG